AUUGAACGCUGGCGGCGUGCCUAACACAUGCAAGUCGAGCGGUAACAGGUGUAGCAAUACAUGCUGACGAGCGGCGGACGGGUGAGUAACGCUUGGGAAUCUGCCUAUUAGUGGGGGACAACCCGGGGAAACUCGGGCUAAUACCGCAUACGCACUACGGUGGAAAGCCGGGGACCGCAAGGCCUGGCGCUAACAGAUGAGCCCAAGUCGGAUUAGCUAGUUGGUAGGGUAACGGCCACCAAGGCGACGAUCCGUAACUGGUCUGAGAGGACGACCAGUCACACCGGAACUGAGACACGGUCCGGACUCCUACGGGAGGCAGCAGUGGGGAAUAUUGGACAAUGGGCGAAAGCCUGAUCCAGCGACGCCGCGUGGGUGAAGAAGGCCUGCGGGUUGUAAAGCCCUUUCAGUGGGGAAGAAAAGCCUCGAGCUAACACCUCGGGGUCUUGACGUAACCCAUAGAAGAAGCACCGGCUAACUCUGUGCCAGCAGCCG
rnacentral:rRNA from 1 species